UCUCUUUUUCCCUUCCAAAUUUAUCCAAAAUUGCUCCAACACCUACCAUUUUAACUAUGGUCAAUGAUUAUAUCUCUUCUCUAUCACAACCCCAUUCUCCUGCGUUUGAGAUCAGAAAGCUAGGAAAGAAGAGCAAUUGUAUAUAUGCUCAGGUUAGAAAUUUUGCAGAUUCAACUGAAGCAAAAUGCAGAGAAAUUGCCCCUAUAAGAUUUUCUCCUUUUAAUUGGCUAGAAUGAAAGAUGUGUUCAACCUACUAUGAUGCUAGUUAUUUCCGCCAUAACCAUAACAGUUCUUUUACCUUUCAACUCUAUCAUUCUCUUCAGAUAUGAAAAGAAAUUAUAUCAAACCUAGUUAAUACACCAUUAAAAUUCCCAAUAAGCAUCAAUUUGUGGACAUGCUACAUGAGUUAAAACUAAUGUUCUUAGCUCUAGGCUAGAGGAAACUCCUGGGGCUGCAAUUGACCAUAUGAAGGACCACCAACUUCCAUUCUUCCAUAUCUAUGGCCACACGAUGGGGCCCCCAUGGAAGCAUCCCAACAUACAAUUUCUUCAAACAGUGCUUGAUAUACCUCCAGAAAAAUUAAGAGUAUUAUGCAUAAACAUCUUAUUAGCCGGAAAAACUGAUCGAGAUGAGGUGCCAACUGCCAAGGAUCCUUUUUGAACUUUUGAUUUUAUUCAUGUGGAGCAGUUGAGUCCCUUCGAUGAUGUCGCAAUAAAGCUAUCUAUGAAGCUUGUGAUAAAUCAAAGAGAAGAAGACAGAAUAAAUAAGAUGUGAUAAGCAAAUCGUCUCAUCAACAAUAGUUGUAUUUCUUUUUGGUAUCUUUUGCAGUUUUAAACGAGGAUAAAACAAAUCAGUGCGUCCAAUAUUAAAAGAAUAAAAUCAUCAUAGA